rnacentral:rRNA from 1 species
GUUGGGAAUCUUGGACAAUGGGGGAAACCCUGAUCCAGCCAUGCCGCGUGAGUGAUGAAGGCCUUAGGGUUGUAAAACUCUUUCGGCGGGGACGAUAAUGACGGUACCCGCAGAAGAAGCUCCGGCUAACUUCGUGCCAGCAGCCGCGGUAAUACGAAGGGGGCUAGCGUUGUUCGGAAUUACUGGGCGUAAAGCGUGCGCAGGCGGCUUUUCAAGUCAGUGGUGAAAGCCCGGAGCUCAACUCCGGAACUGCCAUUGAAACUGUUUAGCUAGAGUACGAGAGAGGUGAGUGGAAUUCCCAGUGUAGAGGUGAAAUUCGUAGAUAUUGGGAAGAACACCGGUGGCGAAGGCGGCUCACUGGCUCGUAACUGACGCUCAUGCACGACAGCGUGGGGAUCAAACAGGAUUAGAAACCCCUGUAGUCC